UGACUGUAGGAAAGGGUACGUAGGCUUCUAAAAGUGAAGAAUAACUCUGGCGUCUUUGGUAGGCGGAAAAGGUGCUGCAAAGAGAAGCGUCACGUGACGGUUUUAAGAAUGGACUCUUUCGUUUGCUUUGCCCAAUGAAUCUGUGCUUGGAACUGUCAGGUGGCGUUUAGCAGUGGCACCCAAUCUUUAUUCCUAAACCCAGAUCUGUUCUUUACUUUUCAGGGUGGAUGGAUUGAUGAUACUUGUUGGUUAAACCAUGAAGAAUACCAAUAGAUGGUUCGUGAGCAGACGAACCAUUGAAAAAGCCUUGCGCAGUCUAGCUGCAUCCAACCAGAUACUAGUAGAACCCAAAACAUUGUUUUGACAAGUGCUGUCAUAUUUCGGGUGCAGGUUUUCACUAAACACCAAGAUGUUGCAGCUUUUAUUCCGUGUUUUUCUUGCUAUCAACAGUACAGGCUGACCCUACGAGCAAAGACAGUUUAAGCUAAAAAUGUUUAGCGCCUCGUCUUGCAACUAGGUGCAUAUGUUUAAAAUUGGAACCAUUGUCUGAGGCAAAAAAACUAGAUGGCGUUUAUGUGCGUCGAUGAUAAAUAUUACGAGUGACAAGUUAAAUGGGUGUUUGUUACGUUUAUACCUGUUUAGUGUUUCAAAGGAUUUUUCGUCAAAAAAAUUGCGGGUUUUGCCUUGUCAGCUGCUGAACCAGUAGCCUGCAUUCCUGCUAUCAAUGUACCACAAGGGAUGCUGACACUUUAAGAAGACCAACAGUGACCACUAUGCCCGAGACAUGAACAUCACCAUCCUGUUCAGAGUCUGCGUCUACUAUGUGUUGCUAACCAUCAGCCUUCAGCAUCCCAUGUAUCCAGAUUCUGAAGCUUCUCUGCUUAGCCAACCAUCCUCCAUACACUUCAGCUCUUUAUUGUGGCUUCUCUUCUUUUCUUAUUAGCCCGCCGAAUGCAAACAGGAAUAAAGGUUCAUCUCCAUUGAUGCCAUACCAUGAAAUUGAAAAUGUCAUUGUUAAUCCUGCUGCCAAAUCGUCUUUCCGUACGAGUCAUGCAGUUUUAGAUUUCUCGUGGAAUUUCCUUGCAACAUCCACCCAGGCUUAAAAGGGCAUCCUACCAGUUGUUUGGACCAUACCUGCCUCGCCGUCUUCGCCUUACCGUCAUUGCCGCAUAAUCUUUGCUCGCGCCCGGCUUCUCUUCAUCGCCGUCAUCGUGGAACGUCGCGUUUUUGGUAUUUUGUUUUGUUUUGUUUUGUUUUGUGUUGUUUUGUAUUUUUGUAUAGUGUAUGUUUAAAGUUAACCCGUUGGCUGCCACCCAUUUUGCUCCCCUUUUUUUUUUAGUUGUAGGGACCGGCGGCGCUGUUCUGCCCCAUGGUUGAUCACCCAUGGGGUGGGGCAGUCGCCUUGCGCCUUAGGGCGCCGUAGGCAAUGCACCAGUAGGGACUUUCCCUUGUCGAUGCGAUGGUGGAGUACCUGGGGUGUGCAUUCCCGUAAAGGUCUCCACCGUCAAGUCAGCCCGGACUUGUCUUCGGACAAGUCCCCCUUUCAUCGGAUCCCUCUGAAACGAUGCGUAGCGAUUGUAGAAGAACAACCUAUGGGUUGUAAUGGCUUGGCAGCCAACGGGUUAACUUAAGUGUUUGUAUUCCUAUGCAUGUAUGUAUUGUAUUUAUUUUAUAAUGUGUGAUGUAAAACUGUGGUGGAAUUGUGGGUGGAGGUGGGAUAAUACAAAACCAAUUCCAUUUA